AGAGUUUGAUCCUGGCUCAGAACGAACGCUGGCGGCAAGCUUAACACAUGCAAGUCGAACGGACCGUAUACGCAGCUUGCUGCGUGUAUGGUUAGUGGCAGACGGGUGAGUAAUGCAUAGGAAUCUACCUAGUAGUAUGGGAUAGCCACUAGAAAUGGUGGGUAAUACUGUAUAAUCCCUGCGGGGGAAAGAUUUAUCGCUAUUAGAUGAGCCUAUGUCAGAUUAGCUAGUUGGUGGGGUAAUGGCCUACCAAGGCGGUGAUCUGUAGCUGGUCUGAGAGGAUGAUCAGCCACACUGGAACUGAGACACGGUCCAGACUCCUACGGGAGGCAGCAGUGGGGAAUAUUGGACAAUGGGCGCAAGCCUGAUCCAGCUAUGCCGCGUGAGUGAGGAAGGCCUUAGGGUUGUAAAACUCUCAGUAGGGAAGA
rnacentral:rRNA from 1 species